rnacentral:tRNA from 5 species
GCGGCUGUGGCGGAAUGGCAGACGCGCUAGAUUAAGGAUCUAGUGGGAAAUUUUUCCCAUGCUGGUUCAAGUCCAGUCAGCCGCAUCA